CCCUUGUGGAGGAGGACGCCGAAGGUGGGGCUAAUGACUGGGGUGAAGUCGUAACAAGGUAGCCGUACCGGAAGGUGCGGCUGGAUCACCUCCUAACAGGGAGACAACAAAAUGUUUAAUAUUAUUAUUUUGUCACCUUAGGUCGAUCGGUAUCUCACGUUCUUAAUUAAUUAAGAAUUUCAUUUCCUAAGUUUUUCUAGGUCACACCCAUUAUUUUCCUGGGCCAUUAGCUCAGGUGGUUAGAGCGCACCCCUGAUAAGGGUGAGGUCCCUGGUUCAAGUCCAGGAUGGCCCAUAUCUCUAUGUUGGGGGUAUAGCUCAGUUGGUAGAGCGCCUGCUUUGCAAGCAGGAUGUCAGCGGUUCGAGUCCGCUUACCUCCACUGAUUACCACCUCUUCCAUAAUCUGUAGAAAGGAAAAUUUUUGAGUUGUGAUCACAAUUCUGAACGAAUCUAGCUUCCUAAUGAAACCAUUAAGAUGCUGGACUCAUUGAAUUAAUUUCAUUGUUUUCAGAGAACCUUGACAACUGCAUAGAUUAUUUUUAAAGACAAUAAGCAUCUUUAAUGAUGCAGAUUUAUUAUUUGUGCAAAUGCAUUAAUAACAAUUCUAUUAAGCUGAUGCUUCAAUUAUGAAGUUAUUGGUCAAGCUACAAAGGGCUCACGGAGGAUACCUAGGCACACAGAGGCGA
rnacentral:misc_RNA from 1 species